rnacentral:rRNA from 1 species
GAGGACAGUGUAUGGUGGGCAGUUUGACUGGGGCGGUCUCCUCCUAAAGAGUAACGGAGGAGUACGAAGGUGCGCUCAGACCGGUCGGAAAUCGGUCGCAGAGUAUAAAGGCAAAAGCGCGCUUGACUGCGAGACAGACACGUCGAGCAGGUACGAAAGUAGGUCUUAGUGAUCCGGUGGUUCUGUAUGGAAGGGCCAUCGCUCAACGGAUAAAAGGUACUCCGGGGAUAACAGGCUGAUACCGCCCAAGAGUUCAUAUCGACGGCGGUGUUUGGCACCUCGAUGUCGGCUCAUCACAUCCUGGGGCUGAAGCCGGUCCCAAGGGUAUGGCUGUUCGCCAUUUAAAGUGGUACGCGAGCUGGGUUUAGAACGUCGUGAGACAGUUCGGUCCCUAUCUGCCGUGGACGUUUGAGAUUUGAGAGGGGCUGCUCCUAGUACGAGAGGACCGGAGUGGACGAACCUCUGGUGUUCCGGUUGUCACGCCAGUGGCAUUGCCGGGUAGCUAUGUUCGGAAAAGAUAACCGCUGAAAGCAUCUAAGCGGGAAACUUGCCUCAAGAUGAGAUCUCACUGGGAACUUGAUUCCCCUGAAGGGCCGUCGAAGACUACGACGUUGAUAGGCUGGGUGUGUAAGCGUUGUGAGGCGUUGAGCUAACCAGUACUAAUUGCCCGUGAGGCUUGACCAU